rnacentral:rRNA from 1 species
UACGAAGGGGGCUAGCGUUGCUCGGAAUCACUGGGCGUAAAGCGCACGUAGGCGGCUUCUUAAGUCAGGGGUGAAAUCCUGGAGCUCAACUCCAGAACUGCCCUUGAUACUGAGGAGCUCGAGUCCGGAAGAGGUGAGUGGAACUCCGAGUGUAGAGGUGAAAUUCGUAGAUAUUCGGAAGAACACCAGUGGCGAAGGCGGCUCACUGGUCCGGUACUGACGCUGAGGUGCGAAAGCGUGGGGGAGCAAACAGG